rnacentral:sRNA from 1 species
CCUUAAACCCUAAACCAUAGAUCCCAAACAUUAAAAUCUACUUCUUAUAUAGUUUAGCUUUCGGAAUCCGGUUGUUGUUCUAAUUUGUAUGCUCAAUGAUACAUAAAGCAUCUAGUCAUAUUUGACUAGAAAAACACAAACAAGGCUUCUUCUUGAUUCUCAAAGCUUUGAUGGUGAAGCCGAAGUUCUAAACAGUUUUUGGUUUUGAAUCGUAUAACAAGGAAGCACUACUUUACUCUCCGGUAUCUCGUUGAGGUUCUAGUUUUAUAUUCAAUCCUACACAAGAAAUCUACUCAUAUUUCAUUCCGAAAUGCUA